CAAAGGUAAAAUUUGGCUUUCUCUCUUGAACAAGUUUUUCAUGUAAUAUUGAAAAAUAAUUAAAGAUUUUUGUUUGCCUUUUGAAUAAGCUAUAGAAAAAAGAAAGGAACGAAAAGAGACAGUUUUUUUUGGAAAGCUAAGUCUUCCCUUUAUCGGUGAGUAAAGGUUUUUGCCCUUAAAAACAUCUUUGAGUUAUCAUUUUGGCCAAAUAAAUGACUUAUGGUGACCUGGGAUGCUAUUUUGUAGUAUCAAAUGUUUUAAAUUUUUGAUAUUUGACAAACUUUCCAAAAUCAAAUUCUAAGUUAUGCCUUUUUCUAACCUGAUUAGUCCUUUAGAUAUUAGGUCCCCUAAAGUCCAAAAAUGACAUAUUUGGCUUAUUUGGUACAUUAAAAUAAUACAGGAAGCAUUGUCAAAUAUGAAAUUGUGUUUGGCUUUCUUUGGGCUGUGUUUAU
rnacentral:lncRNA from 10 species